rnacentral:lncRNA from 1 species
CCAGAGUUGCUCUGAUACCACAUGAUGAGAUCCUAGGAUGAUGCUCUGGAACAGAUGGGAUAAUCCUUGCAGAAACGAAUCAAAAGACUCAAGCUUCUCAAGGUAUGUGAAUCGAAUGGUGACACAAGAGGCUGCGGAAAGGCUUCUUGAUACUCCUAGGCUUAGAUCGGAUAUGACACACCUCUCUAAAGCCCUUGGGCGUUGGAUAUUACACACCA